CCCGCCCCGACCGACGGGGAACGGGGAAAGGCAGGCAGGACCCCUGCAAGUCGUUUUUUUUUUUUUUUUUCAAGUUAUCUUCCGUGGCAGGAAUAAACAGAAACUUUUCUCCUAAGGGUAGCUUUUUUUUUUCUUUUCUCCUUAUUUUUUUUUUCUUCUCGAGUACAAACUACAGGAGAAGAGGGAAAUUUUCUCAUUAAAGUUACAUCCCUGCAGUUAGUUCAAUUACUUGAUAUAUGCAGAAGAUGUUGUAAAUUUAAAGAUUUAAAUAGCUUACAAAGAUGCCGGAGGCUCCAUCAGUUAAUUUCCUUAAUUUAUGGAUUUUUAGCUGAGCUUCUGAAAUGAAAAGGAGAAUGAGAACUAGGUCAGCGGAGAGAUUUGCAUCCAGAACAGACUUAAAUUUGUUUUCCUUGACCAUCCCACCGGCCCAGGUGCGGUCCUCGGUGGGGUCCCACCUCUGGGCUCUGCGGGCCCCAAGGCCGGCUCUGUCCCGACGUGCGGCCACUGCGCGUCCCUACGCGGCUGCCCCACCUGCCGUCGGGCCGGGCGGCAGCCCCAGCAAUCCCAUCUCUCACCGCUCAACAAGUGGAGCACGAGGAGGACGAGGUCUGCCGAGGCUCCGUGACCUGUCUCCCAGCCCCAGCUACCUCUUGUUUCUACAGGGAUGUACGGACCGCUAGGGAUCAUCUGACAACGUAAUAUUUACCUCCUCUGUGAUCUACUGACUGCUAAACGAAAAACAAAUGUGAGAACCUUGAAUAGCAAGUAGAGCGUUGUAGAAAUAGGAUGUUUCCGCACUGAGGUGCAGUAAAGAGGAAAGAGCAAGACCUAAAAAUACCGCACUGAACAAAAAGUAGGAACUGUUUUCUGACUCAUCCCAACACAACUGCCACAGGUCGCACUUAACUGGCAUGCAUGGCUCAUAAAGAUCUGCUUUGUUUGUUUGUUUGCAGACCAAAGACUGACGGCAUUUGGGGUGAAAGAGGCGUGCACAUGAACAGAAAACGAAAGACCAUGAAAAGAUGUAAGUUUCGAGCAACAGAAAUUUCCUAUCAAGAAGAUAUUCCAAAUAUAUUUGGAAAUGAUCCGAUCUGAAGUCUACUGGCUGUGUGAAAGAAGACUGAGAAGUCGGAAUGUUGUAUGAUUGGAACAGAACCUGGGAGAGCAGUAGCUCAACAAAGCACGAUCACAUGGACAUGAGAGUAGAAGAAAAAGAAAAUUGAGCAAAUUCUUCAGUGGUCAUCCUGCCCACCUGUGAUGUGUGCACACUCAGCUGGAGCAUUUCCACCAGAUGCCGCAAUGGAAACAUACUCCUACCAAGAGGAUGAUGC
ensembl:lncRNA